GAUGAACGCUGGCGGCGUGCCUAAUACAUGCAAGUCGAGCGAACGGACGAGAAGCUUGCUUCUCUGAUGUUAGCGGCGGACGGGUGAGUAACACGUGGAUAACCUACCUAUAAGACUGGGAUAACUUCGGGAAACCGGAGCUAAUACCGGAUAAUAUUUUGAACCGCAUGGUUCAAAAGUGAAAGACGGUCUUGCUGUCACUUAUAGAUGGAUCCGCGCUGCAUUAGCUAGUUGGUAAGGUAACGGCUUACCAAGGCAACGAUGCAUAGCCGACCUGAGAGGGUGAUCGGCCACACUGGAGCGGAGACAGCGUCCAGACUCCUGCGGGACGCAGCAGUAGGGAAUCUUCCGCAAUGGGCGAAAGCCUUACGGAGCAACGCCGCGUGAGUGAUGAAGGUCUUCGGAUCGUAAAACUCUGUUAUGAGGGAAGAACAUAUGUGUAAGUAACUGUGCACAGCUUGACGGUACCUAAUCAGAAAGCCACGGCUAACUACGUG
rnacentral:rRNA from 1 species